AGCUUUGGUCGUGUAUAGACGUUUUUGGAAAUUGAAAAAGUUUGAACGGAAGACAACAACAACAAACGCGUGCGAUUUUUUUUCUUGUAAAUUGUGUUGCUUGUUUUUCUUGUUGAAGUGUUGAAGAAAAAAAACGAAGUGUUUGUAAAAUAUUUUACAUUAAAGAAAAGUAAAGAAUUUAUGUAAAAUAAAGGAAAUUUUAUAAAAAAUAAAGUUUUUAUUAAAAGAAAAACUUAAUUAAAAGUGGAAUCUAGUAAAAAAGAAAACCUUAAAGGAAAAUUGAGGGAUUUUAACGACAAAACAUAAAUACUGUAUAAAUUUAUAAUAAAAAAACGACAACCCCUUAUAGUUUGAAUACAAAAACUACUUUUUGUUUUUAAAUAAAAUAUUCAAAUAUUUUAUAAAAACCCA